UACAGAGGGUGCAAGCGUUAAUCGGAAUUACUGGGCGUAAAGCGUGCGCAGGCGGUUAUGCAAGACAGAUGUGAAAUCCCCGGGCUUAACCUGGGAACCGCAUUUGUGACUUCAUAGCUGGAGUACGGCAGAGGGGGAUGGAAUUCCGCGUGUAGCAGUGAAAUGCGUAGAUAUGCGGAGGAACACCGAUGGCGAAGGCAAUCCCCUGGGCCUGCACUGACGCUCAUGCACGAAAGCGUGGGGAGCAAACAGG
rnacentral:rRNA from 1 species